GUGCUCACUUCAGCAGCACGUAGACUAAAAUUGGAACAAUACAGAGAAGAUUAGCAUGGCCCCGGCGCAAAGGUGACAUACAAAUUCCAGUGUUCCACAUUUCUUUU